UGGUGCAAUCUCAGCUCACUGCAACCUCUGCCUUCUGGGUUCAAGUGAUUCUCCUGCCUCAGACUCCCAAGUAGCUAGGAUUACAGAUCAUCUGAAUAUCCAGGCACAACCCAGGCAUACUAGACCUUGAUCACACUGGAAGUGCGUGACCAUGGGGAUGUGGUGUGUAAAGCAAGAAAACAUAGGGACAGAAAUACAACACUGGAGAGAUCACUUGAUGUCAUUUCUGAUGGCUUUUAUCCAUCCUGCCCAAAUAAAAUAAACAAAUUACCCUGGUACUUUA
rnacentral:lncRNA from 1 species